GGAUGCGAUCAUACCAGCACUAAAGCACCGUAUCCCAUCAGAACUCCGAAGUUAAGCGUGCUUGGGCGAGACUAGUACUAGGAUGGGUGACCUCCUGGGAAGUCCUCGUGUUGCAUUCC
rnacentral:rRNA from 2 species